AGGGUUUGAUCAUGGCUCAGAUUGAACGCUGGCGGCAGGCCUAACACAUGCAAGUCGAGCGGAUGAAGGGAGCUUGCUCCUGGAUUCAGCGGCGGACGGGUGAGUAAUGCCUAGGAAUCUGCCUGGUAGUGGGGGAUAACGUCCGGAAACGGGCGCUAAUACCGCAUACGUCCUGAGGGAGAAAGUGGGGGAUCUUCGGACCUCACGCUAUCAGAUGAGCCUAGGUCGGAUUAGCUAGUUGGUGGGGUAAAGGCCUACCAAGGCGACGAUCCGUAACUGGUCUGAGAGGAUGAUCAGUCACACUGGAACUGAGACACGGUCCAGACUCCUACGGGAGGCAGCAGUGGGGAAUAUUGGACAAUGGGCGAAAGCCUGAUCCAGCCAUGCCGCGUGUGUGAAGAAGGUCUUCGGAUUGUAAAGCACUUUAAGUUGGGAGGAAGGGCAGUAAGUUAAUACCUUGCUGUUUUGACGUUACCAACAGAAUAAGCACCGGCUAACUUCGUGCCAGCAGCCGCGGUAAUACGAAGGGUGCAAGCGUUAAUCGGAAUUACUGGGCGUAAAGCGCGCGUAGGUGGUUCAGCAAGUUGGAUGUGAAAUCCCCGGGCUCAACCUGGGAACUGCAUCCAAAACUACUGAGCUAGAGUACGGUAGAGGGUGGUGGAAUUUCCUGUGUAGCGGUGAAAUGCGUAGAUAUAGGAAGGAACACCAGUGGCGAAGGCGACCACCUGGACUGAUACUGACACUGUGGUGCGAAAGCGUGGGGAGCAAACAGGAUUAGAUACCCUGGUAGUCCACGCCGUAAACGAUGUCGACUAGCCGUUGGGAUCCUUGAGAUCUUAGUGGCGCAGCUAACGCGAUAAGUCGACCGCCUGGGGAGUACGGCCGCAAGGUUAAAACUCAAAUGAAUUGACGGGGGCCCGCACAAGCGGUGGAGCAUGUGGUUUAAUUCGAAGCAACGCGGAGAACCUUACCUGGCCUUGACAUGCUGAGAACUUUCCAGAGAUGGAUUGGUGCCUUCGGGAACUCAGACACAGGUGCUGCAUGGCUGUCGUCAGCUCGUGUCGUGAGAUGUUGGGUUAAGUCCCGUAACGAGCGCAACCCUUGUCCUUAGUUACCAGCACCUCGGGUGGGCACUCUAAGGAGACUGCCGGUGACAAACCGGUGGAAGGUGGGGAUGACGUCAAGUCAUCAUGGCCCCUUACGGCCAGGGCUACACACGUGCUACAAUGGUCGGUACAAAGGGUUGCCAAGCCGCGAGGUGGAGCUAAUCCCAUAAAACCGAUCGUAGUCCGGAUCGCAGUCUGCAACUCGACUGCGUGAAGUCGGAAUCGCUAGUAAUCGUGAAUCAGAAUGUCACGGUGAAUACGUUCCCGGGCCUUGUACACACCGCCCGCCACACCAUGGGAGUGGGUUGCUCCAGAAGUAGCUAGUCUAACCGCAAGGGGGACGGUUACCACGGAGUGAUUCAUGACUGGGGUGAAGUCGUAACAAGGUAGCCGUAGGGGAACCUGCGGCUG
rnacentral:rRNA from 1 species